GAUGAACGCUGGCGGCGUGCCUAAUACAUGCAAGUCGAGCGAACCAUUUCGGUGGUGAGCGGCGAACGGGUGAGUAACACGUAGGUAAUCUACCCAUUAGACGGGGACAACGACUGGAAACGGUCGCUAAUACCGGAUAGGACGAAAGUUUAAAGAUGCUUCGGCAUCACUAAUGGAUGAGCCUGCGGCGCAUUAGCUAGUUGGAGAGGUAAGAGCUCCCCAAGGCGACGAUGCGUAGCCGACCUGAGAGGGUGAACGGCCACACUGGGACUGAGACACGGCCCAGACUCCUACGGGAGGCAGCAGUAGGGAAUCUUCGGCAAUGGACGCAAGUCUGAUCCAGCCAUUCCGCGUGCAGGACGAAGGCCUUCGGGUUGUAAACUGCUUUUGUACAGAACGAAAAGGUCUCUAUUAAUACUAGGGGCUCAUGACGGUACUGUAAGAAUAAGCACCGGCUAACUACGCGCCAGCAGCCGCCGUAA
rnacentral:rRNA from 1 species